rnacentral:rRNA from 1 species
UUGAUCCUGGGUCAUGACAACGCUGGCGGCGUGCCUCAUACAUGCAAGUCGAACGAGAAACUCUAGCUUGCUAGAGUGGAAAGUGGCGGACGGGUGAGUAAUGUGUAGGAAAUCUGCCCUAGAGUGGGGGACAACAGAGGGAAACUCCUGCUAAUACCCCAUAUGAGCCUGGCUGCUCUGCCAGUCUUGAAAACUCCGGUGCUCUAGGAUGAGCCUGCAUCUGAUUAGCUUGUUGGCGCCCCCCCCCGCCCCCCCAGGCGACGAUCAGUAUUCUUUUUUUGAGAGGAUGAUCAGGCGCCCUGUGACUGAGACACGGCCCCAUACUCCUACGGGAGGCAGCAGUAGGGGAAUUUUGCGCAAUGUGCGAAAGCCUGACGCAGCAACGCCGCGUGUACGUUAAGCCCCUCGGGGUGUAAAGUACUGUCAGUGGGGACGAAUUUUGACGGUACCCACAGAGGAAGCACCGGCUAACUCCGUGCCAGCAGCCGCGGUAAUACAGAGGGUGCAAGCGUUGUCCGGAAUCAUCUGGGCGUAUAGCGUUCGUAGGCGGCAUAUCAAGUCCUGGUGUUAAGGCCGGGGCCUAACUCCUGGUCCGGCACUGGUAUACUGUUAGCUUGCAUGCCGCAGAGGGUGAGGUAUUUCUGUCUACGGUGAAUGCUUAGAAAUAUCAAGGAGGAACCAUCCCUGUGGUGCUCGUG